rnacentral:rRNA from 1 species
AUUGAACGCUGGCGGCAGGCCUAACACAUGCAAGUCGAACGGUAACAGGAAGCAGCUUGCUGCUUUGCUGACGAGUGGCGGACGGGUGAGUAAUGUCUGGGAAACUGCCUGAUGGAGGGGGAUAACUACUGGAAACGGUAGCUAAUACCGCAUAACGUCGCAAGACCAAAGAGGGGGACCUUCGGGCCUCUUGCCAUCGGAUGUGCCCAGAUGGGAUUAGCUAGUAGGUGGGGUAACGGCUCACCUAGGCGACGAUCCCUAGCUGGUCUGAGAGGAUGACCAGCCACACUGGAACUGAGACACGGUCCAGACUCCUACGGGAUGCAGCAGUGGGGAAUAUUGCACAAUGGGCGCAAGCCUGAUGCAGCCAUGCCGCGUGUAUGAAGAAGGCCUUCGGGUUGUAAAGUACUUUCAGCGGGGAGGAAGGGAGUAAAGUUAAUACCUUUGCUCAUUGACGUUACCCGCAGAAGAAGCACCGGCUAACUCCGUG